CCACAGAGGAACUCGAAGACGCAUAUAAUUUAGAUGAACUUACUCCUGAAAAUCGCUUACCUUCGGACGAAAUUCAAGAAGACCUUAAAUCUGAAAUACCACUGGACAAUAAACAAGGUGUAGCUCACGAUGAGGUCAGUCGCAACGUGGAGCCGUUUGAAGACACGCCUACGUCUGCUGCAUCGUUCCCUCACACAAAAGAAUCGCUCGUUUACGGAAAUCUAGACAAUCUCGGCAUAACAUAUGGAAAAACAAAUCAACGAGUAUUGUAUAGUCAGAGUAGAAGAAACACUAUACUGGAAACCCUACUGAGGCUGUUAGACCAACCGUCGUAUUCCCGAGAAUGGAGUCAUAAGAAACCUCUUGUUGUGGUGUUUUUUAGAAAUCCACACAGAAAAGUAAAAA